AGGGCCCCCUGGCCCCCCGUGAAAGAAUUUUAACGGCCGCGGUACCCUAACCGUGCAAAGGUAGCAUAAUCAUUUGUCUAUUAAUUGUAGACCAGUAUGAAAGGCAAAAUGAGAGCCCAACUGUCUCUUAUAAUAGAUCAAUUAAACUGAUCUCCUAGUACAAAAGCUAGAAUAUCAACAUAAGACCAGAAGACCCUGUGAAGCUUUAACUAACCUAUUAAACCAAAUAAUAACUACUUUCGGUUGGGGCGACCUUGGAAUAAAAAAGAACUUCCAAUAUAUGACUUCUUCAUAAAACAGGCAAACAACCCAAAACCAAACCCACCACACCUAAUAAUUGAAACAAUUUACUCCAGGAAUAACACCGCUUUCUUCUUCAAAAGCCCUUAUCAAAAAAAAGGUUAACAACCUCAAUGUUGAAUCAGGACUUCCAAUUAAGGCACCCUUUACUAAAGGUUCUUUGGUCCAACAAUAAACAGCCCUACUGGAUCGGAUUCCAAACGGGA
rnacentral:rRNA from 1 species